GUUUAGUUUUGAAUGGCAGCGUUAAGAAUUUUAAAAAACAAUACUGGAGAUUAAAGUACAUUAAUCAAUGAAUGCAGUCAAUAAUAUUUACUGUUUCAAAUUGAUAAUAAUUAAGUUAAAAUGUCUGCGUGUAGAAUAUAAGAUUAAAAUAGUUUCAUUUAAUAUUUCCGCUAUAUUUAUUCAAUAUUUUAUAAGACAUUUAUUUCACAGAAUUUUGAUAUUUUUCCUUUUCCUAAUAGUUUUGUAUCAAACUCUUUUUAGGGGCUCAUACCCACAUUUCUCUUGAAGAAAUUUUAGCCGAAAAGGCUGAAAAAGCAAAAGAUGCCGAAGAAAACAAACUUCCCCAAGAAGCAGUUCUGAUCUGAUGCAGCCUAUUAACUUUUGUGUGAAAACCAUAAUUAUGAUUUGCAAAAUUUCUUGAGAAACUAAACCAAUAAAAAUAAUUACAAUGUUGUAUCUGAAACUCUUAUGCUCCUUGAUUGUAUAUGUGGAAGUACUACAGGAGGCCUUGGAUUAUUAGGUUUAUAUAUUAAUGAAUGCAAUGUUGCUUUAGUUAACCAAACUUUAGAAACACUUACUGAAUAUUGCCAGGACCAUGA